rnacentral:SRP_RNA from 1 species
GCCGGGCAUGGUAGCGGGUGCCUAUAGUCCCAGCUACUCGGGAGGCUGAGGCAGGAGAAUGGCGUGAACCCGGGAGGUGGAGCUUGCAGUGAGCCGAGAUUGCACCACUGCACUCCAGCCUGGGCGACAGAGNNNNNNNNNNUUUUUUUUUUUUUUUUUUGAGACAGAGUCUCGCUCUGUCGCCCAGGCUGGAGUGCAGUGGUGCAAUCUCGGCUCACUGCAAGCUCCACCUCCCGGGUUCACGCCAUUCUCCUGCCUCAG